UCAUAAUCUCUCCUUAAUUACAUUAGAGCUGCAAUCAGUUAGUGCAUUACAAGGCUUGGCAAAGAGCUUUUAAAUCUUGGAGGAAAUCAUAAAUAAUUGCACUAACUACCCACUGCCAGAUGUGCAUCCCAACUUGCGGGUCUCAAUGUGCAGUGUUCCAAUCUCUUAUCCCAAAGGUGCUUGUCUGAGGAGAUGGGCAAACAGUCCCGCUUUGGGCUUUUCCAGUAUCUCAGGUGUCACCUCACCCAUUCUUCCGACAAAAUUCAGAAAGUGGUGGAACUGGAUGAUAGUGGCAGGUAAGGUACCAACACAGAGAAAAUCUAUAAACAGAGAUGGCAAAAGUACACACAUACUUCACUCUAGUAGAAGUACAGAUACUCAUGUUUUAAAAGACUAUGGUAAACAUCUCUAACUACACUUUUUCACUCAAGUUAAAGUAAAGAAGUACAGGUUCUGACAUGUACUUAAAUAAAAAGCAGCCAUUACUACUACCUGUUUUAGUGUCACACUGGUACCUGGACCUUACAUCAAAUUAAUAUAUUCAUACAAAUAUAUAUUUAAAUUUGUUACCCAAUGAAUCUACCCAGGCUUAACAACUACCAUAUAGAACACAAGCAAGGUAAAGACGAUGACGAUCAGGUGAUCAUGAAUGUCUCUGUUUUAAGUCAUGUUUACAUUGCUGAGUCCCUUUGUUUCAUCCACGUUAGCCAUACAUUUUGUUGCCUUCUGCCUUUUACAUUGUUAGCUUUGUAACUAGCCUAGGUCUGUAGUGAGUGAGAGCCAGGAAAUAAUACACCAAUCUUAGUUUAAAAAAAGCCACACAAUGACAAGAAAUCGGUUGAUGGGCUGAAAAAGGUGUGCAGUUAGAAGAAAAAAUAUUGAUCAUGUCACCAAAUAAGUUCAAACGUAACAAGACUGGUCUGAAAAUGUGAAAGUACAAAGGUGUCCAAAAAAUAAAUAGUGAAGUAAACUUACUGAAUCAUAAAAGCAGUCAAAGACCAUAAAACAUUGUUUUCAAUAUUUAAAUGGGUAACAAUUUAGAUAUAUUUUUUAAAUGCAUGAUUUCAAAACAUUUUGAACAACAAUUUUCAUUACUUAUUGUUUAAUAACAAUCUGCACUUGGUGCAACAUCAUAGAAAUGUUCAAAUGUAUUUGAAAUUUAUAAGGGAAUGUUUUUGUCUCUUUGAUUAUAAUGAUGUUCUUUAAAAAUGUUUAUUCUUAUCAAUUAAACCAAAAAUCUACUAUACAUAAUUUGCCAAUGCUGCUUUAUAAGCUGAAGCUUUUUCAUACUAAUCCUAUUUUCACUAAUCUCAAUUUACUUAAUUCUCUCAAUAUUCCCAUAUCCUGAAAUAAUGCUUAGAUAGCAAAACUAUUAAAUUAAAAGGAAGGCAACCUGAAUGGUUAAUUGUCAACAUGUAAUCAUGCUUGAAUCAUGAUUAUUAUCUCAGCUAGUAAGGACCCAUCAAUGCCUUGUUAUUAACCUCCACUUUUACAGUCCCGAGUCAUUUAAUAUUAUGCACAGAUAGUAAGUGUGAGAUUAAUUGAAAUGACUGUUGUUCCAUUUUGGUGUAACAAUAAAAAGGGUAAGAUUUUUGGUACACUCAAAGUCAUAUGAGUUUUCAGUAUGUUUCUGAUCAAAUGCACAUUAUCAACUUGUGCUGUUAAUAUCAUGAACAGCAGCUACGCUAAUUUCUCUCCACUGCUUCUCUUUCUUUCCCCAUCCCAAGGCAUCCUGAGGUUUGGCCAGCUCCAGUCACAUCCCACCUCAUAAAGAUUAUGGACCUUUAAAGAAUUAGAUGCGGAACUCGCAAACUUCCCGUAUCACCCAGAGACGUACCAGUGCCAGCUGGAUCCCACUUCAUGUGUGGAGUUUUGACAUUGGACCUCCUGGAGUGUUUAAAGGUUCUGGCAUGGAGAAGCUGGUGUUGGAUCUGUGAUGAUCGCAAAUGUUG